CAAUACCUCAGUUGAUAGAGCAUGGGACUCUUAAUCUCAGGGUUGUGGGUUCGAGCCCCACAUUGG
rnacentral:tRNA from 1 species